UGCGGAUGAUCAUUACCGAGUGCGGGUCCCCUUCGUGGGACCCAACCUCCCACCCGUGAUUAUUGUACCUCCUGUUGCUUCGGCGCGGCCCCCCGGGGCCCGCCGGAGACAUCUUCUCGAACGCUGUCUUUGAAAAGGAUUGCUGUCUGAGUAAACAUACCAAAUCGGUUAAAACUUUCAACAACGGAUCUCUUGGUUCCGGCAUCGAUGAAGAACGCAGCGAAAUGCGAUAAGUAAUGUGAAUUGCAGAAUUCAGUGAAUCAUCGAAUCUUUGAACGCACAUUGCGCCCCCUGGUAUUCCGGGGGGCAUGCCUGUCCGAGCGUCAUUACUGCCCCUCAAGCGCGGCUUGUGUGUUGGGCCGCCGUCCCCUGCGCCUCCGGGCAAGGGGGACGGGCCCGAAAGGCAGUGGCGGCGCCGCGUCCGGUCCUCGAGCGUAUGGGGCUUUGUCACCCGCUCAGUAGGUCGGGCCGGGGCCUUUGCCCUCUCCAACCUUUUUUUCCUUAGGUUGACCUCGGAUCAGGUAGGGAUACCCGCUGAACUUAAGCAUAUCAAUAAGCGGAGGAAAAGAAACCAACCGGGAUUGCCUCAGUAACGGCGAGUGAAGCGGCAAGAGCUCAAAUUUGAAAGCUGGCCCCUCCGGGGUCCGCAUUGUAAUUUGC
rnacentral:misc_RNA from 1 species